UGCGUAGGCGGCUGGGUAAGUCGCGUGUGAAAGCCCGGGGCUCAACCCCGGAGCUGCAUGCGAGACUGCCUGGCUCGAGCGCGGUAGAGGCGGGCGGAAUUCCUGGUGUAGCGGUGGAAUGCGUAGAGAUCAGGAAGAACACCGGUGGCGAAGGCGGCUCGCUGGGCCGUUGCUGACGCUGAGGCACGAAAGCGUGGGGAGCAAACAGGAUUAGAUACCCUGGUAGUCCACGCCCUAAACGAUGGACACUAGGCGUCGGGGGGAGCGACCCUCCCGGUGCCGUCGCUAACGCAAUAAGUGUCCCGCCUGGGGAGUACGGCCGCAAGGCUGAA
rnacentral:rRNA from 1 species